UUUUGUGUUUUUGCUUAGGUGAAGCAGAAAACAGGACAAUAUUAUUUGUGCAACAUCUAUAAAAUCAACUAAUUGUUUUUACAUCUAGCUAUUUAAUAUUUUAAACAUUUUAAUAGAUUUUAAUCAUUGGUGCUCUUGGGGGCCCCCUGGUGGUGUGGGGGCCCUAAGCAGCCACUUAACUCGCAUUAUGCUUUGGGCCGGCCCUGACGAGCCCGGCUCAUAAAGA